rnacentral:misc_RNA from 1 species
GGAGAGUUCACUACUAUUUCUUGAACCUUGAUGGAUCUGUGCAGCCUUAUUCUUAGAUACGAAGUUGGUCAUCUUCUCAUGCAACCGUUCACUAGCAUCUGCAAUGUGCGCAUGGCGAAGCUCAAGCCAAACUGGAUCAUGGUCCUCCAAAAGAACCUCUUUCUUCUCCGGUGGACCACCAACUUUGCUUGGAACCUCAUGAACAUAUUUAUUCCCCUCCAUACUAAGCAAAUCGCG